rnacentral:lncRNA from 1 species
GAUCACGUGCUUCCAAUGGUUUGCUGUCUAACAGAGGUAGAGAGAGGAUAGAUCUCAGAGAUUUGGUCAAAACCCUCUUCUUACAGGGACCUACUAUAGGACCCAAAGAGAGAGGCUGGCACAUAAAGUAAGCCCAUAAAGAAGAGAUACAUUUUUCAUAUUCUGGAAGUGCUUCUCUUGUUUAUGUGGGCAUUUCUUUUUUUUUUUUUUUUCGGUACGUGGGCCUCUCACCGCUGUGGCCUCUCCCGUUGCGGAGCACAGGCUCCGGACGCGCAGGCUCAGCGGCCAUGGCUCACGGGCCCAGCCGCUCCGCGGCAUGUGGAAUCCUCCUGGACCAGGGCACGAACCCGUGUCCCCUGCAUUGGCAGGCGGACUCCCAACCACUGCACCACCAGGAAAGCCCCUUGUGGGCAUUUCUUGUGGCCGAAUGAAUGUUAGCCUUCUAGGUGGGACAUUUCCUUAACUUGCUUUGAAGAGUACUGAGAUGCACAGCACCAGAAACUUACUGGAAUAUUUGCUUUGAAUUUCAUUUGGGCAGUGGUAUGGGAUGAAUUGUGUCCCCCCAAAAUUUAUAUGCUGCAGCCCUCAUUCCCAGUACCUCAGAAUAUGUAUCAAUAACUGUCUUUGGAGACAGAGCCUUGAAAGAGAUAAUUAAGUUAAAUGAGGUCUUAGAGUGGGCCCUAAUCUGAUCUGACUGGUGUCCUUAUAAGGAGAGGAAAUUGGGAUACAUGCAGAGACUCCAGUGGUGUGCGUGCACAGAAGGACAGUCUUCUUACUGUGAAGACACAGUAAGAAUGUGGCCGUCUGCAAGCCAAGGAUAGAGACCUCAGAGGAAACCAACCCUACCAACUGCCUUGACCUUGGACUUCCAGCCUUCAGAACUGUGAGAAAAUAAAUUUCUGUUUAAGCCGUAGAGUCUGUGGGUUUUUUUUUUUUUUUUUUUUUUUUGUGGCAACCCAAGCAAACUAAUAAGGCAGGUAGAAGAAUCGUUUGAAAUAUUUGGUAAUAUAUUUUCCAAAUAUAAUAAAUAAUAUGGGAACAUUUCUAUGUGGAUGUGAACAAAUCACCUUAGGAGCCAGGGGUCAGGGAGAGGUGCACCUGGAUGACGCAGGUUUUUGGUAAAGCUCUACCUCUUGGAUCCUGUGGUCUGUUCAUUGUUUUCCAUGGCAUUAUCAUGCUUUAUAACUUACAUCUUUUUAACAUUAUGUUAUUUUCCAUGAUCAAACAUUAUAUU